AUUCAUUUCACGACCUCCAGUCUUUCAUCUUCAUCUUCAACCCCAAUUUUCAGUUUUUGUUCUUCCACCUCAGUUUUUGUUCAACUUCAUCAUUCUAAGUUUCGUUAGAGAGCUCGCCUGGGCCACAGACAAUGAUGCGCUGGAGAAAGCCUUUUCUCCGUUCGAACAUCAACAACCGUGAGAUCUAGAGGUCCAAGGGCUUCAGCUUUGGCUUCGUCACCUUCAGCAAUGAGAAGGCCAUGAGAGAUGCAAUCGAAGGCAUGAACGACCAGAACCUCGACGGUCGUAACAUCACCGUCAACGAAGCUCAGUCUUGUGGAAGCGGCGGUGGUGGUAACAGAGGUUACAACUGCAGAGGUGGCAGCGGAGCAUUGCGUAUUUGAUUUGGUGAACAACCUUAGUACCAUUGCAAGGGUAGCACCAAGGAAUUUAUAGAAGUCUUAGCUACUGGUAGUUGAUUUUGAAAUGAUGUAGUUGAUUUUGAGUGGUAUGGAGUUGUAAACAUUUAUCGCUCCUAUUAUGAAAAUAAAAUGAUGUAGUUGUUAACUUCC